ensembl:lincRNA Gm16617 predicted gene, 16617
ACUACCUGCAGGUAGAAGUCUCCAGGGCGCAGCAGCUGCCAGGGAAGGGCCGCUAGCUGCACUACCACCUGCUCAUGCAAGCAGAGUGGCCAGCCCUCGUGGAAGAAGAGGAAUCCACUAUACUGGGCCUGGAGAGAGAAGAGGAAAUUAGCCUGGCAGAAAAGGGUUGAUGGCCACUCACACAGGCUUCCUGCUGGACCUUGGCAAGCAGGUGUUUAGCAGGUACCAGGAAGUCCAGCGUGUACCUCAGCGCAUCCUCCUGAACCUGUGGGAUUGGCCACAAUGAAUCAAAUGGUGGAGCCAUUUGAAAGAAGAUAAAGACAUACCCAAAAUUCUUGGAGAAGAGAGGAGGUGGUCUGAUGCUAUGUAUUCCAGUUUUUUUUUUUCUUUCUUUUUCUAGUUCCAGAGGGUUCUGUCUGAUAACCUGUCUCAAAGACUAAGUCGUGUCCCGUACUGACCAACUCCCUAAGUGAAUCAUUCAUUGGGCUACGUUUCUUCACUCACUUCCUAAACAACAACUCUGGGGUCUACUUCUUUGCAUGUCCAUAUCUCUCUCAAGAUGGCUUUUUAAGUUCCGUUUAUCAGAUGUCUUUGCUGUAAAUGAGGAAAGUAUUUUGCAGUAUUUAUUUCUCUACCUCUCUUUGCAUUUACUAGCUCUCUACCCAUUGCAGACGGUUCUGCUUCCACCCCAAGACAAAAAUUACUUAUUUUACUCU